rnacentral:rRNA from 1 species
UACGUAGGGGGGCAAGCGUUGUCCGGAAUCAUUGGGCGUAAAGCGCGUGUAGGCGGCCCGGUAAGUCCGCUGUGAAAGUCCAGGGCUCAACCCUGGAAUGCCGGUGGAUACUGUCGGGCUCGAGUCCGGAAGAGGCGAGUGGAAUUCCCGGUGUAGCGGUGAAAUGCGCAGAUAUCGGGAGGAACACCAAUGGCGAAGGCAGCUCGCUGGGACGUGACUGACGCUGAGACGCGAAAGCGUGGGGAGCAAACAGG